CAGCCCACACCGAUUCCUCCGCUCCACGACUCCCCUCGACGCAAUCACGCCGCCGCCACCGCCGCCGCCUCAUCUCCCCAUCCCAGCCCCAUCCUCCCUCUCUAUGGCCUCAUCUCCUUCCCCUUUCUCUUCUCAAUCCAGAUUCAUGGAGGUGGGCGGCAGGGACGCCAUCGACCGCGAGUCCGCGACGCUAGGGUUCCUAGCCGCUGCCACACGCACAGCCGGCCGGAGCCACCUCCGCUCCGUCAGCCAUCGAUCCUCCUCUCCACCAUUGCCUGGAGCUGCUCUGCCCAUCUCUGCCUCGCCCCGAGCAGGACUCGGCCCGCCCAACAACCCCCUUCACGCCAGCCGUCCUAUGGCGGGGGCAAGGGAGUGGAGUAAGGGCUGGCCGCUGUGAUCUGGCGGCUUCGCCGUCCUCUGCGACAAGUACGGGUAUGCCCUGCUCCCACCUCCCUCCGUUCCCACCUUCCUCCGUUCGUGUGCUUUGAAUGCACCGGUUGGCUGGCUCACUGGCCGGACGGAUUGAUUUGUUUCCAUUUUCUGCCCCUCUUUUCCUAGGAUACUGAUCUAUUAUUAUGCAUCACAACUACAUGAAUGAAUGAAAGCAAAAUAUUCUUUCAAGAGCAAAUGGCACUUCUGUUUCAUCUUGUGAAACCAACCAUUACAGUGUUGAUGAAGAAACCAACUGAUCUGCUGAUUUUAUCAACAAAUAAGGCUAGAAUGUUGGAAGAUGUGGUUGGCUGGUACCACUCACAUCUGGGUUACGCAUGCUGCCUGAACGCCAUUGAUGUUUCAACUCAGAUGCUUAAUCAGCAGUUUACAGAACUAUUCUUGGCUUUGUGAUUGACCCUACAAAGACUGUUUCUGCUGGUAAAGUGGACAUUGGAGCUUUUAGCUAGGACAUACCCGAAAGAUUACAAGCCACCAGAUGAGCCUGUGAAGUAUCAGCCAAUACCACUCAACAAGACAUAAGAUUUUGGUGUUCACUGCAAACUGGUAACGCGACCAAUGCAAUUCUCUUAUUUAUGUAUUCUUUUUUGUUCAAAACGCUUGGUUUAGUUUUGUUCUAACUGUAUUUUCAUGCAGUACUAUUCUUUGGAUAUAACCAAUUUCAAGUCAUCCAUGGCUUCUCACCUCGUUGAUCUACUCAUUAUUGAUCAUAAGUAGAAAAGUAUUCCAUCGGUUUCUACAACAUUACUUGGUGGCGCGCUUGGUCUGUUUAAAACUUUACUGCUUGUUUUCUAUGCAAAACAUAUCUUAGACUUCAUGGGUGGGAAAGCGGUAGAUGUUACUUCAGGCCCUUUUUUGCUUUUGAUAGUGCAGACUACUUUAUUUCAGCACAAACAUUAGUUAUUAACAUCAGCUUUUCCCAUGUAUUUCAAAACUAAUUGAUUUCUUCAUAAAAAGCGGAUAAUUUAGGCUCUUCGGUUAUUAAGUUGCUUCUUUUUUUGCCAACAGUUGUAAGUUAACUUACUAAUAAUUGGGUGUGGGCAUAUCUUAGAUUUUUCUUCCUUACUCGUCCCUUCUUUCUCCCUCUUCCAUUCCCCCUUCCUCCACCUUUGAGGCCCUGAGUUGUGAAGGGCACGAAACCCUGGCGGCAGUGGCGGAUUGAUGCGGGGGAUGAUGGUUGCAUCACUGAAUUUGCUUUAUUGUGUUGUUGUUUCAGAUGAGGAUGAGGCCCUGAGCUUAUGCUUUUCAUGGGCACAAAGAUGAGGUCUUUGCUGCUGCGUGCAGUCCUGUAGAUACAUCACUUGACAUUUCUGGAGGUAAAGAUGGCAGAGGGUUCCUUUGGAGGAUCAGAUCGCCACAGGAUUUUCAGGAGCUGACUAAUAUGAUUACCUCAUCUUCCUGUUUUUAUUUGUGAUAUCUAUAGCUAUAAAAGUAUAUUUGAUAUCUUUAGCAAGUUUUUUUUCGUCAUUUUUGUGGGCAGGGCCUUAUUUUUCUUUUUGGCUUUUCAUUUAUAUGUACCUUAAUGUGUUGAUGAGUGCCUAGAAUUGCCUGCCAAGCUUAUCUUUUUUCGGCGUGUUGGAGCGGUUCUAGAUCUCGUUUUGUUCCGGGCCGGGUUUCAGUGAAUGGAUUCUUCUACUGUUUAUUUUCAUUGGCUGAACGUACGCAGGGAUUAAAUGGAUGUGUGUGAGAGUUGUGUCUGUGUUCCAUUGUUGUUGAUGUAGUAGCUUUCAAUUCGCAGGCAUGUCACCGUUGGCAAGUGCAAGAAGAAAGCCCCGAGAAAAAUGCACAAAGCCAAGAGGGAGAAGCAUUAGCACGACCUGCUCAAUGAUCUCUUCGGUGUACUUUUCAAAAUGCUAGGUGAGUUAAAUAGGUGUGCAUCAUGUUAAAUAUCCAAUAUUAUGGGCCGCCAAGAGUUAUUCUUGGGCGCCACUUCUAGGAGAUAGAGAUAGUUUUUCUUUUCUGUUUAAGUUACAUCUAUCUCUAUUCCCAAUCUUCUGUAAACUCUUCCGGUUAGUCCUCUAACUGUACGCAUGUGUAAUCUCCUCGAGAGGUUUUCUCUCGCUAUCAAUAUAUAAGCACGCGGGCUCCCGUCCAGGGGGUUGAGACGCUUCGGCAAUACUUUACAUGGUAUACAGAGCAGGCCUUUUCCAUCGCAUCUAGCUCAUCUACCUCCAUCGAUCAUCCCCAUCCACCUUCAUCGAUCAACUCCAUCGCCGCCAUGUCCUCCUCCUCUGCUGUUCCCUCCUCCGGCCUAAACUACAACAUCUCCGAGCCUCUCACCAGGACGAACUAUGUCCUUU